AGGUUAAAGGUUGGGAUUUUGGCAAACACAGAACAGAAACAGUGAGAGGCUUUGAAGGAAGGAAAAUUCUUGCUCCUUGUUAUGAAUUUCAGCGCUCUCAUUGACAUUUGUUGAACAAUGAAGCCCUUUCUUGUAUUGACAGCCUUUACGGAACGUUUGCAUCUGAAAAGAACAUCUGUCGGAAUGAUUGUACACACAAAAAAGCUUCAGAGGAAACUACAAAAGACACUGUCGUCUUACACCGACGGGGAUGACUGGUCAGUUGGUUUUAAAUCCAGCUUAGACACCGUCCCUAAUGCCUGACUGCUCUCUGGCUCCAGCGUCUGCACAGUGAGCUGCUCUGUGGCAACACAUCUACUGAAGAGGGAACCUGAGCCACCACCCUCCAUGUGCAUUCAGCUUACAGUGCACAACUUGUUUUCCAGAUCAGGCUACCACAGCUCUACUGGCCCUCAGGAUGUGGAGGGAAGGGCUGCUGCCAGAUCCCUUAAUGCUUCUGCGUCCUCCUCAUAAAACCCCUUUAUAGAACCUCUGAAAUUGUCACCUGUCCAGUAGCUAACAGGAACCACCGUCUUUGCUCAUUUAAACCAGUUGAUUCUGCAUGACAGCUUCAGCUCUGCAACCAUCUGUGUAUGCAGGCCACGGCGA